rnacentral:rRNA from 1 species
AUUGAACGCUGGCGGCAGGCUUAACACAUGCAAGUCGAGCGGAGAUGAGGUGCUUGCACCUUAUCUUAGCGGCGGACGGGUGAGUAAUGCUUAGGAAUCUGCCUAUUAGUGGGGGACAACAUUCCGAAAGGAAUGCUAAUACCGCAUACGCCCUACGGGGGAAAGCAGGGGAUCUUCGGACCUUGCGCUAAUAGAUGAGCCUAAGUCGGAUUAGCUAGUUGGUGGGGUAAAGGCCUACCAAGGCGACGAUCUGUAGCGGGUCUGAGAGGAUGAUCCGCCACACUGGGACUGAGACACGGCCCAGACUGCUACGGGAGGUAGCAGUGGGGAAUAUUGGACAAUGGGCGGAAGCCUGAUCCAGCCAUGCCGCGUGUGUGAAGAAGGCCUUUUGGUUGUAAAGCACUUUAAGCGAGGAGGAGGCUACCUGGAUUAAUACUCUAGGAUAGUGGACGUUACUCGCAGAAUAAGCACCGGCUAACUCUGUGCCAGCCGCCGCCGUAAUAC